GCUGAGCGCUUCAGUGCUGUGUGCAGCAUCGGGGCCGAGCGCUUCACUGGAGCCAGCUGUUUUGCCAGUACCAACUGCAUCCUUGGUGCCAGAAAUGGACCCGGAGCUGCCGAGGAGAUAAAGGGCUCACUUCGGUCACCCACAACAGGAGGAUGAAGGUGAAGAAAAGAAAAUGAAGCGGCUAACUAACUACGAGAGGAGGAAAACAGUGAUGUAUAUUAAUUCUCAAGCCAGCAGGAAGGGAGGUGCAGUUAAGUACUUGAUGACACAUCACUGGACUGCAGUGGCCAGAAACCACUGUUACUAUGGGGAAACAAACAAUGGUACAAUGGAAUCUCCAAGUUACAAACUGACUCAUCAACAACACACCUCAUUUGGAACUGGAAG